CUUGUACUCCCUCCGUCCGGAAAUACUUGUCAUUGGAAUGGAUGUAUCUACAUGUAUUUUAGUUCUAGACACAUCCAUUUUGAUGACAAGUAAUUCCGGAUGGAGGGAGUACUUG
rnacentral:pre_miRNA from 1 species